CUGCUUUAGUCUCCAGAGUAGCUGGGAUUACAGGAUGAAGCUGAAAUAUUUUAGUCUGGCAUUCCAGAUCCUUCACAUCUUGGCCUCAGCCUACCUAGACAUCUUGACUUCCCUCUGUUCACCGUCACUGAUACUUGGCCAAAUCAACUCUUCUAUCCACAGGAAUGGCAUGCUCCAUGUAAGCUGAAUUCUCCCUUGGAAUCCCUUUUGGGGCUGCAAAAUAUCCAGAUAUCGGCUGGGAUUAAAGUCAUCUGGAGACUGGAC